UACGGAGGGUGCGAGCGUUGUCCGGAAUCACUGGGCGUAAAGGGCGCGUAGGUGGCGACGCAAGUCAACGGUGAAAGCUCGACGCUCAACGUCGAGUCGGCCGUCGAUACUGCAUCGCUGGAGCACUGUAGAGGCAGAUGGAAUUCCGCGUGUAGCAGUGAAAUGCGUAGAUAUGCGGAGGAACACCGAUGGCGAAGGCAAUCCCCCUGGGCCUGCACUGACGCUCAUGCACGAAAGCGUGGGGAGCAAACAGG
rnacentral:rRNA from 1 species